rnacentral:rRNA from 1 species
GCGCGUGAGUGAAGAAGGCCUUCGGGAUUGAAAGCUCUUUUAGUCAGGAAAGGAACACGGCCUACACAGCCGGGAAUGACGGUACCUGAAAGAAUAAGCACCGGCUAACUACGCUGCCAGCAGCCGCGGUAAUACGUACGGUGCGAGCGUUAAUCGGAAUUACUGGGCGUAAAGCGUGCGCAGGCGGUUGUACAAGACAGGCGUGAAAUCCCCGGGCUUAACCUGGGAAUGGCGCCUGUGACUGUACGGCUAGAGUGUGUCAGACGGGGGUAGAAUUCCACGUGUAGCAGUGAAAUGCGUAGAUAUGUGGAGGAAUACCAAUGGCGCAAGGGCAAGCACCCCUUGGGAUAACACUGACGCUCAUGCACGAAAGCGUGGGGAGCAAACAGGAUUACAUACCCUGGUAGUCCACGCCCUAGCCGAUGCUGACUAGUCGUUCGGGAUUUACAUCCUGCAGUAACGUAGCUAACGCGUGAGGUCA